ensembl:lncRNA
CGGUUCAGAAGAUCUCCCUGGCUCCAGAUGCUAUCGCUGAGGACACUCUAGGGAAACUCAGGCUGAGGGCUAACACCUCUGAGACCAAGACUGAGGUUGAGUCUCGAGGAGAGCUUGAGUCUGUUUUGGAAGAAUCCAGUACCGAUCUCAUGGUGGAAUCGGGUCCCAGCUCGCCCUCUUGUCAUGUUUAUACUGUAAGAUGCAGAGAAUGCCAGAGACUUUUCGCCAAGAUGAGAAAACAGCCGACCCCAAAACAGAAAAGCAAAGAUACAAAUCCAGCAUCUUUAUCUUGUGAUGUGUGGGUUCUGCUUAAGAAGUGGCACCCUCAGAGACGCCACCAUCGGGAGAAGGGGCCAGUCAUUUUUGACCGGGACCACCACAAGUGUAACAAGAAGGGGAAGAAAAAUCACAAAAAGUUUUAGUCCAAUAUGAUAACAUUAGCAUUUUCAGGAAAAAGAAAAUCCUCUCGGGGUCAAAAUGACUGAAGCACAACAUGAAGGUUUAAAAAAAAAAGUCCCCUUUUUACUGCAUAGAUAGCCAAGUAUUAUUACAAGCCAAUCUUGCCAGCGGUGAAUUACUGCUUUAAUAAUCGUAUGUUAAUUAGUUUGGAUGUGAAUUAUGUGAAUGUUGAUCUUCAG